AUGGUUUCGUGCUAACUGUAGUCCUCGUUUCUUGUUUUCUUCUUGAGUAUAUGCCUUGGAAAGCAUCGUCUUUCUUGUUUGGGACUGAAAA